CAGUAUUUACGAAGGGACUGGUUGGUUUAUAUUUUUGUUUAUGUAAAUGAAAAAUGUAAAGUUGUGUGUAGUAGUGAGACAAAAGCCUUUCAUACAUUUAUUUAAGGUUGUCUGUUGUCUGUUUGAAGGUGUGUCUGCAAAGCUCUGAAACGUUUUGUCUUUUUUUAUCUCUUCUGCUCUGGAUAAGGUGGACUUCUCUCCUCUGACCGGUUACCAAGACAGCUGGGUGUGUAGGAAACUGGAACUAAGUCACUGAAGAAGUAAACCGAUGAAAACCGAUUUGGAUUGUCUGAGAGAUGUAACUGUAGGGCACAAGUAAGAGGAGAAGAAUGCUGCUCAGCUGGGUCGGCGUCGGCCACACUACUUAUUCAAGAAGCCCUUGGAUAUCAUCGGCAUGUAUGAAGCACAGUCAUUCCGGUAGUCCGUUCCUCGAUGGACGUGAUGACCUGGCACCAAAACCGCUUAAUGUGUACGGAGCUGUGUCUGCAUCGAGGGAAGAACGCGGCACUGAAAUGACACAAAUGAAAGAAGAUUACUUCUGCUCUGCUGGGUCUGUGACACUAUUUAUCCGAGGAGUCCUCAAACAUCAGGAUGUAGGAAGACACAAGUAAAAGGAGAAGAAUGCUGCUCAGCUGGGUCGGCGGCCACACUACUUAUUCAAGAAGCUCUUGGAUAUCAUCGGCA